rnacentral:tRNA from 1 species
GUACUCAGCUAUAGAAGCCAGGAUUGUGAUUCCUGUUGUCGUGGGUUCGAGCCCUAUCAGCCACCCCA